AUCCUUUUCCCGUUCAUAAGCAUGAUGAUUGGGUGUUCACGUGGCUGUGUGAGAUGUGCCUCCCUUAAACUUUAUUACAACAUCGGCACAUUACCCUUCUUGUGAAA